rnacentral:rRNA from 1 species
GACGAACGCUGGCGGCGUGCCUAAUACAUGCAAGUCGAACGAGAGCGACCGGUGCUUGCCCUGGUCAAUCUAGUGGCGCACGGGUGAGUAACACGUGGGUAACCUGCCCAUCAGAGGGGGAUAACAUCCGGAAACGGAUGCUAAAACCGCAUAGGUCUUCGAGCCGCAUGGCUUGAAGAGGAAAAGAGGCGCAAGCUUCUGCUGAUGGAUGGACCCGCGGUGCAUUAGCUAGUUGGUGAGGUAACGGCUCACCAAGGCCGGGAUGCAUAGCCGACCUGAGAGGGUGAUCGGCCACAUUGGGACUGAGACACGGCCCAAACUCCUACGGGAGGCAGCAGUAGGGAAUCUUCCGCAAAGGACGCAAGUCUGACGGAGCAACGCCGCGUGAGUGAAGAAGGUUUUCGGAUCGUAAAACUCUGUUGUUAGAGAAGAACAAGUGCUAGAGUAACUGUUAGCGCCUUGACGGUAUCUAACCAGAAAGCCACGGCUAACUACGUG